rnacentral:rRNA from 1 species
UACAGAGGUCCCAAGCGUUGUUCGGAUUCACUGGGCGUAAAGGGUGCGUAGGUGGUGGGGUAAGUUUGAUGUGAAAGCUCCGGGCUUAACCCGGAAAUGGCAUUGAAUACUAUCUCGCUUGAGGGUUGGAGGGGAGACUGGAAUUCUUGGUGUAGCAGUGAAAUGCGUAGAUAUCAAGAGGAACACCAGUGGCGAAGGCGAGUCUCUGGACAACUCCUGACACUGAGGCACGAAAGCUAGGGGGAGCGAACAGG